rnacentral:rRNA from 1 species
UACGUAGGGGGCAAGCGUUGUCCGGAUUUAUUGGGCGUAAAGAGCGUGUAGGCGGCCUGACAGGUCUGCUGUGAAAACUCGAGGCUCAACCUCGAGAUGUCGGCGGAAACCGUCUGGCUAGAGUCCGGAAGAGGAGAGUGGAAUUCCUGGUGUAGCGGUGAAAUGCGCAGAUAUCAGGAAGAACACCUAUGGCGAAGGCAGCUCUCUGGGACGGUACUGACGCUGAGACGCGAAAGCGUGGGGAGCGAACGGG